ensembl:lncRNA
GAGAGAUUUACGUGAUACACACCAGGUUACAUUUGUGUCUGCUCUUCAGUUUGAUUAGUGCAGUAAUGUGUGAUUGUUUAUAUAUUUUUCCUUAUUGAACAAGCUAAUUUGACCUGAAAUUAAGCUGCUCGUGGCGCAUCCAUAAGUAAAUGCUUAGAAAUAGAGCACCCUCUUUGGCCUUGUUCCACCUGUCUAGAUUCUACACAGACACACACAUACACAUGCUCACACACACACACGAUGAACGAUGUUGUUGAGGUGCUUGGGGGGGGGGGGGGGGGGGCGUGGUGUUUUCUCAGGUAACAUACAAAGAGCUAGGGCUUUUAGGGGCAUUGCACUUUGCUUGUUGAGAGGCAAUGAGGCUGUGUAUGGAUAUUGCUGUGCCACUGCUGGCUAUGGUGCACAUGACCUACAUCUGUGAAGCAGCUCUGCUGAGGAAAUCCACAGCGGCUGACUUCCUAAGACCAGUAAGAGAGAAGCGUGCUGCAGAGUGUUUCCCUGCAGGCUGCAGUAUGGAGGACAGUGAUGCUGAGGAGCUACUGGAGGCCAACUCACACUACGACAGUCCGAAGAUGCUGUUGAAUGGUGGCACUGGGGCAGGGGUGAACUCGAGUCCUGGUAGUGAGGCUACGGUGGAGGAAGGCUCAGGGAUGUAGCCCUGGGAUGUACUGUAGCAUCAUCAGGCCAACGCCAGGAGAGCUGCAGCAGACAGACAGGAGAUGCAUGGGUCUUAUCUAUAACGAAUGACAAAAUGCAAGGCCAAAUAUUCCACUUUAUUAAUCAUUAUCUUUUGGGAUGGGUGGAAUUAUAAAAACUUUAAAUUAUGGAAAUAUAGAAUUCCAAGGUCUUUGUGAAAGAUGGAUUUAUUAUAAUAUUGUUAUUGUCUCUGCUUUGUCAAACCAUUUGAUUUAUGAUUUGGGAGUCUACUAAGAUUUGUUUCACAGUACUUCUUGAUUUUUAACAAAAAAUGGCUAACACUUGUUAUAUUAGUUAAAUAAUCAUAUAAUUGCCUACCUUCAUAUUGGUGCUUCGUAAGAAUGGUGCUCAGUACCUCAUUUAUUUUGCAAGUUAUCUUUGUAGAAUCAUAGAUCUUAAACUGCAUGGGUACAGCUCUUUAUAAGCCAUGAAUUGUCCAAAGGAAAUAUUUCCCACUUUGACAAACUUGAACUAUGAGAAGUAAUUGAAGUUGAUAUACUAAAUUAUAUUAUGUGGAGCAAUGGAAAAUAUUUGUAUAAUAUUUUGACAAUGUACUUUUUGAAGAUUUGCAAACAAAAUGAUUUUACCAUUUACAACUAAUUUUACAAUAUUUCAUUGUAAUGUGCCUACUCCCAAGUCAAAAAUUAUAGGGAAUUAUCCCUGACCUGUAUCACCUGUAUUUAAAUAUCCAACUUACUGAUUUAGAAAUAUAUAGGCAGGCCUACUUUAGAAAUGUCUGUGUAAAUAUCUCAAUAAAUGCAUAUUUUAAUCAAUUGUUGUUAGAUAACUUUUGUAUAUGUGGUGUCCAAGACAUUACCAACAUAGAUUGGGGAAAUGAAAAUAUGUGCUAUUAAGUGUGAGGCAAUAUUAUUUCACAUUAAGAGAUCAAUGGAAACAGCUAUGUAAGCCUGUGAAGAGGUAACAUAAACAGAUAUCUGCAAUAUAGAAUGAACCAUCUGUACACCUGGGAAGACAAAGGGCCUUUUUGACAAAUGUGUCAAUCUGAACUAUCUGUGUAUAUCAAGACUCUGCUUCCCUCCUCAGGUAAAAUAUGAAACCUCAGGCAAAAGAUGAAACCAUGCUUAGAACCAUGACUCAGAAAGGAACAUCACAUAUUACUGAUUAGAUAGAGCAACUAUCCAAAACAAUACAUGCAUGUAAUCUUCAUUCCAUGCAUGUAAGAGAUCACUCGUUCACAGUGGAAAUUCCUUUUCCUACCAGGAGAGAGAAACUGCAUGUGAAUCUAAUUCUAUCUGCACCUGUCCAUUGUCCUCCCCAGCUCUAGCAACUCAGUGAAAGCAUGUUGACAAGGGGUGGCUAGGCUGGUCCAUACAAGGCUAUCAGGGAGAACUACAGUAUGGACACCAGACACCGUGUUCUGACACUGUUCCUACCUGUCCCUGGUGAGAUGUUGUUAGGAGAAGCCAGGCAGGGAAGUAUGGAGGUCUGUUAGCUAUACCGUGGGAGAAGAAACGCUCCAGCGAGUCGGAAAAUUGAUCAUGUCGAGAGCUGGGCUUGGGAAAGGAAUGGGAGAGGGGUUGUAAGAAUGGAGGUCUGAGAAAAAAGGAACACCAGAAAAACCAACAGCACAGACAAAGGGUACUUUGAUUUUCUAGAAUGUAAACUGCUGGAGCUAUUGUUAGCCCUCUGCUUUAGUGAGUUAGGGUAUUCAUCCUUGUAAAUAAGAAUUUGUUCUUAACUGACUUGCCUAGUUAAAUAAAGGUUAAAUAAAAAUAAAAUAAAAAUCCCAUGAGCUAGAUAGUAAUAUGGACCGGAGCACAUAAAAGGACGUUGUACAUUUGUUUUUUAAGUAAUCUUAUUGUCAUGCAGGAUCUUUUCAUGCUCAAUGUCAUAAAGCAAAAGUAAAUUUUAUUUUGUUAUGGCUCCAGAAAAACCAAUGGAUCAAUGUGACUGAGUGGGUUCAAACCAAGGUCUCCUAUGCACCACAAACAUUGGGCUCGUUUGAGUGGUAAGGCUGAAGCAACCGACUGCAGACGAGAGUCGAAGAGUAAUGUCGGGGGAGGUGCAUUUGCAACAGGAAAAAUGCAUCAUGGCAGUUUGCCGUUGUUUGUAAAAGUGUUUUCUUUUUCAUGUGGAAACCCCCAUAUUACACACUCACAAACUGUUAAUAUAUGUGUGUGCAUUGUACUUUGAAUUAAAUUGGUGAGCGAGCUUCACAUAUCAAAUUCAUUUGUACAUUGAAGUCUACACAUGAAUCGCGGCAAAGCUGGUUCCCGUUUCAGUCAAGUCUUUGGUCAAGCUCGCGUGAGUAAAACAAAAACACCCUAUAUAGAGCCUUCCACAAUGCAGGGGCUGGCUCCAGGAGGAAGUUAAUGAAGAGCAACAGCAGAAACUUGCAGUCAACUGCAGUCAAAACUUCAUGACCUUUGAUCACUUGGUUUUUGUUGUCAUGUAGACACAAAAUGGACAAUUUUUUUGGAAGGUGGUGACCGACUUUGUGUUAGACAGCUGAGCAAAAGUCUAGGGCCAAGAUUCAAUCAGAUCAAACGGUGUUGGCGGUGGAACUGCACUGGAGGUGGGAAAUUGGUGAGCAGCUGCUCUUGUGAUUAUUGUCACGAAGCUCCACUCGAGUUAGAAGUUCAGAACGAUAAUGUGUAGGCUAUAUAGAAAUAAUUAUGCUCAAAUGUAAAAAAUCAUUCAAACUAAAUAAUGAGGAUUUCUAUCAUCGUAAUCGAGGUGUACAUUGCAUCUCUCAUUCCAGUGUUGGAACUUGUGAACAAGGCUGCAUGGGAUUUCUGUUAAUGUGACUCCGUGCAGCAAAUGGCAAUGUCUGCUUUAGGUGUAAUGCAGGGAGCCACUUGUGGAUUUGACAGCUCUAAUGCAGUUCCACCUCUGACACCACCAAAACAACUGCUAUUCGGAUGUUGGCUAAAGCGGAUCUGAUAGAAUCUAGCCCUAGCCCUAACUGUGGGUGUGUUCAAGUGGUAAGUCUAACAAAGCCGACUGUAGACAAAAGUCAGUGAGUGAAGUCGGGGGUGUUGCAUCUGUGAUCAACAUAGCUGCUAUUGUUUAUAUACAUUUUUAUUUUGUUCUAAAUAAACUUUUCUAUACUCACAUAUCACACACUCACAAACUGAAAACAUAACGUGUAAACAAUUAAUUGGUCAAAUCUCUCUCAAAUGUCACUUUCAUUUGUAGCUUUAGAAUCGCAGCAAAGUUGGAUCAUGUUUCAGUCACGUCUUUGGCCAAGUUCGGGUGGGUCAAACAAAAACACCCUAAUGAUUGGUUGACAAACAAUGCCCACAAUUCAGGUGAUGGCUGCAUGGUGCAGGUGGUGAAAAGCAACUAAAGCGACUUUAAGGUGAUUUCAUCAAAAACAGCAUGAUUUUUGUAAAGUUCAUGCAGUCGACAUAUAGUCGAAAGUCAGACAAUACUUUUACCCAUAAUGCAACACACUUUGAAAGGCAGUGAUCAACAUCUUGACAAAAGUGAUCCACUCCAACGUGCCCUGUCUGAAAACCAUAUAACAUGUUUAGCUGCCAGUAGCUAGGUUUCCAUCCAAUUGGCAACAGAUUUUACUGCGAAUAUUCUAAAACAAUAUGCGCUUUUUCCACCAGAGAGGUGUUUCACCCCAAAAAAUUGCAGACCACACAACAUAUCAUCGCUUGACUCCAAAUUUACUUUGAUAUGAUGGUUAUUAUCAACUAAAUGUUUAGUUGUCACAUGCGCCAAAUACAACAGGUAUAAAUAGACCUUAUUGUGAAAUACUUACUCAUGAGCCCUUAACCAACAAUGCAGAAAUGUUUCAGAAAAGUAAGAAAAUUUGCUAAAUAAACCAAAGGAAAAAUAGUAACACAACUAAAUAACAAUAACGAGGCUAUAUACACUGCUCAAAAAAAUAAAGGGAACACUAAAAUAACACAUCCUAGAUCUGAACGAAUGAAAUAUUCUUAUUAAAUACUUUUUUCUUUACAUAGUUGAAUGUGCUGACAACCAAAUAACACAAAAAUUAUCAAUGGAAAUCAAAUUUAUCAACCCAUGGAGGUCUGGAUUUGGAGUCACACUCAAAAUUAAAGUGGAAAACCACACUACAGGCUGAUCCAACUUUGAUGUAAUGUCCUUAAAACAAGUCUAAAUGAGGCUCAGUAGUGUGUGUGUCCUCCACUUGCCUUUAUGACCUCCCUACAACGCCUGGGCAUGCUCCUGAUGAGGUGGCGGAUGGUCUCCUGAGGGAUCUCCUCCCAGACCUGGACUAAAGCAUCCGCCAACUCCUGGACAGUCUGUGGUGCAACGUGGCGUUGGUGGAUGGAGCGAGACAUGAUGUCUCAGAUGUGCUCAAUUGGAUUCAGGUCUGGGAAAUGGGCGGGCCAGUCCAUAGCAUCAAUGCCUUCCUCUUGCAGGAACUGCUGACACACUCCAGCCACAUGAGGUCUAGCAUUGCCUUGCAUUAGGAGGAACCCAGGGCCAACCGCACCAGCAUAUGGUCUCACAAGUGGUCUGA